CACUCACCCACGAGGACCACCAGGGAACACCGCGUGCCGGACCCCCCCUCCCAGUCCCAGCGUGCCGGUCCCCCCCCCUCCCAGGCUAAAGGUAAGAAGGGAGGGGGGGACACAAUGCCUGUUUUUUUUUAUUUACCCCCCAUACACACACACAAUAACAUUUAUACAGCACUCUCACACACAUCACACACAGCACUCUCACACACACACAGCACUCUCUCACACAGCACUCUCACACACAUCACACACAGCACUCUCUCACACAGCACUCUCAC